rnacentral:misc_RNA from 1 species
UCUCCGUAGGUGAACCUGCGGAAGGAUCAUUAUUGUAUAACCGAGGUUCGAUUCCUGUAGCUGACCCUGAAUGUCCUGCACGACCCAGUGCCCUCACACACCUCCAUCUCACCCCCAUGUCAACCACCGCGUAGGUCUCCUUUACUUUUAUACGAGGGAACCUUACGUUUUCACACAAACUUUGUAUCUCGUGUCGAUUGUAAUUUUUGUUUUUCCGAUCACGCCAUCAAUACAACUCACAACAACGGAACUCUUUCGUCUCGCAUCGAUGAAGAACGA